UUGCUUCCACAGUGGUAUCACAGACUGCAAGACAAACAAUAUCGUGCCAUGACAGAUAAAGUUAAUUGUGUUCAUGGGAUAAUCUGUGACUUAGCCAUAAAUGUAGCAUGGUGUAGUGCAAUUAGCUACGCACAAAUGUGUAUAGACUGUUCAUAAAUGACGAAGUAAUACAUACAUACAUACAGACAUACAAACAUACAUAUAUCUGUGCGCGAGCGCGCCACGAAAACUGGAACUUGAUUGGCACUUACUAGCAAAUCACUAGUUUCAUUAUCGUAGCCAGUUGCAGCAGAAGCAAAGGUAACUC